ACUGCGUGGAUCGCAAUAUGCAGGAUCCUCCCUUGCAGCAACAGACAUGCCCGUGGCCACAGCGCUGACUCCCGCAGAGGCGCCUUUGAACUUACCAGAGCAGCAGAGUUUGGCCUUGGAGUUCAUCAAACUCCAAGAGAAAAUUGAAACAGCAUUGGAGGGGUCCUGGACCAGACUGAACCAAUCUUGGCCAUGCUACAAAAGCAUGAGCAGGAGAUCCAACAUCUUGGGCAGCGUGUGGAGGAGCUGGAGCAGUAAACCAUGGCGUCGGAGACCACAGCAGAAUCCUCAGCAGGGCGGGCCUUAAUCAAGCAGGUCAACGACGUUGAGAAUCGAGGUCAGAGAAAAAAUACCAGCAUUAUUGGGUCGCCAGAACGAGAGGAAGGAGAUCAGCUGGUCAGCUUCCUGGAGUAAUGGCUCCCACAGCUCCUGGGACUGGGAGCCGAAUCGGUGACGGAUUCACAGAGUUAUUACAGUCCAGAAUGAGGCCUUUCAGCCCAUCAUAUCUAUGCCAUCUAUUUGAAUGAGCAGUCCACCUAGUGUCCUACCUUCUCCCUUGUCUCUGCAUAAAAGGUACAGCAGUUUUUAAUAGUCCAGAUGACGGUAGACGGUUUCUUGUGUCCUGUGCAUGUGCACGCAGAGAUCGCUGUUUCCGGGAGCAGCAUACCACGCUAUUGUGUUCUAUAGGCGCUCAGUUCAAGCACAUAGCGACGUAGUCUAUCACGGAGAAUGCCAACAUGGUGAUGGUCUCGGGCAGUUGCAUUGCCCUACCUGACAUCAACUCAUAAGGGGUCGACCAAUUGACCGGGUUGUGGUGAAGCGGAGUUGCAUGGGUAUAGCAGGAUGAGAAAAUUGCUAGGCCAGCACUUAUUGAAGCGUUAACCACAUUACUGCAGGUCUGGAAUCACAGUUGAAAUCACUUCUCCUUCAUCUAACCUCUAGGCAAUAUACAGCCAGGUUACUCAGCCAGUCAUCAUAGCAUCACUUUCUCACCCCAGGAACCAAUCCAGAAUAUGCAUAUCCAAUCUUUCAGGAAGGGGAGAUCGGACUACCCCAGGUCCCCUUGAUGUCCAUAUGGCCUUCUAGAGACAAUCUCAACGGAGACAACCAUGGGACUACUUUAAGAGCUUACUUCGAGUGUCGGGGCCCUCCAUUUCUGUCUAGCAGCAGGAAGAGCGGGGGUGACGACCAGGUAAGGUGAAUCAUUGCUUUAAGACUUACCUCAUGAAUAGGUGAAGCACAUGCUGAGCAGGAGCAGACAUGGGACUGCUUAGUAAGUGAGGUAAUAUAUUUGGGUGGUUGCAUUACCUGAAACACUACUGAGACACUGUCUCCCAUCCAUCCUCUUCCUCAAACCAAAACAAAGUUCUGUGUGCUGGAUUGGUAAGGUAACUAGUUUUUUUUUAUUCUUUGUUUUUGAAUAGUCUCUUUGGGAAUUU